CGAGUGACGGCGGGGGAGGGGCGGGGCUUGUCCGCAGCAGUAAAGGUCCAGAGCACAGAUGUGGAGGUCACUUUUACUUUUAAUUUGAAUUUUGAUAUACCUGCCUGAUUAUGCAGGAGCGUGUUUUCAUUCCUGAUUCAGACAGAUCCGCCUGCGAGCUGCAUCCGUUCCUGCGCGUUUGACGCGAAAAAGAAAGCAAAAAAAAAAAAAAAAAAACGGGUUGCAGAUGAACGUUAGGAGGAGAAAGUGAGAUGAUGGCGGCGGAUGCGGAGGAGACGGGAGGGCGGACGGACCCGUGUGCUCCUCCCGGCAUCAGUCUGAGGCGGAGGGGCUCGGACAGGAGGUGGAGGCUGCGCUCUGUGUAUCUGCAGUGCUAUUUUCUGACAAUUGCAACCAUCCUGGGAACAGGAAUUUUGGGUCUUCCUGUAACGAUAGCCCAUGCUGGCAUGAUGCCCUUCCUCAUCUCCUUCCUUGUUGGUUUCUGUGUUCAGGCCUUACUCAUCUACCUGUUUGUGGAGCUUCUACAGAAAUGUCAGGCAAUGCAGCUGGAGUCUCUAAAGACCGGAGUGGCAGAGUGCAUCAUGAUGAGUCCAGUGAACAUCCAGAGCCCAACCUUCACAGACGAUGAGGAAGAGGAGGAAGAUGAAGCAGACAACGCAGCAGCAGAUACAGGUCUGCUGCAGCCGCACACUCUCACACUGCAGGAGCAGGCGGAAAACCUUCAGCCCAACCUAUAUCUCCUGGGGUGCCUCUUCCUGUCUCCGCCCAUGAGCUGCGCCUUCAGCUGCAUUCUCCUCUUCCAGUUGAGGCUAAGAGCCGGAUCGAUGCAGAGGCUCAGCCGCUCCGUUUCCCGGCACACAGGGACUCGGCGCUGCCCUUCACAGCCAGCGGCCCAUGUUCACACACGCCUCUGCUCUGCAGACACACAGCCUGUGUGCUCCUUCUCUGUCCCAAAACACCUUUCUGCCUGAAAAAAUGACGUCAUGUGCGCCAGUUUUUGUCAAUAUAUUGAAAACUCAUCUCUUUUAUUUAUUGCAAAAAUCUCUUUAUCAGGUAAAUGGGUCCAAUUUCCAUACUGAUGUCUGAUAUCUAGCUACAAUGCAACAUUUCGUGAAUGUUCCCCCAGGUUUUAUCUUUCACAGCUCUAUUCCAACAUUGGCUUUGGUGUAAAGAAUUCCAGCCAGACAUAAAACAGCAAUUAUUAAUUUACCCUUUCACGAUUGAUUCUGAAAACACUUCCUAAUCAGUCCCUGAUGGGUCAAAGUUCAACCUAACUUUUAACGUGCAUUCAGUGGCUGCAUGUUUUGUACAUAGAUCCCAAAAACAAUCACAGAAAUGUAAGUAACUGCGCCUGAACGCGAGAGUUUUAAACGUGGAAGCCCUAACACACGAGGUUACACACAUUUCCAUAGACCUUUCAUUGAAAGCGGCAGCUUGAAUGCACAUUGCUGAGGGCGGUGUG
rnacentral:lncRNA from 1 species